UAACCUGCCCAAGAGAUCGGGAUAACACCUGGAAACAGAUGCUAAUACCGGAUAACAACAGAUGAUGCCUAUCAACUGUUUAAAAGAUGGUCCUGCUAUCACUCUUGGAUGGACCUGCGGUGCAUUAGCUAGUUGGUAGGGUAACGGCCUACCAAGGCGAUGAUGCAUAGCCGAGUUGAGAGACUGAUCGGCCACAUUGGGACUGAGACACGGCCCAAACUCCUACGGGAGGCAGCAGCC
rnacentral:rRNA from 1 species